UGGGGAAUAUUGGGCAAUGGACGCAAGUCUGACCCAGCAACGCCGCGUGAAGGAAGAAGGUUUUCGGAUUGUAAACUUCUUUUAUUCGGGACGAAGAAAGUGACGGUACCGAAUGAAUAAGCCACGGCUAACUACGUGCCAGCAGCCGCGGUAAUACGUAGGUGGCAAGCGUUGUCCGGAUUUACUGGGUGUAAAGGGCGAGUAGGCGGGACAGCAAGUCAGAUGUGAAAUGCAGGGGCUUAACCCCUGAACUGCAUUUGAAACUGUUGUUCUUGAGUAUCGGAGAGGCAGGCGGAAUUCCCGGUGUAGCGGUGGAAUGCGUAGAUAUCGGGAGGAACACCAGUGGCGAAGGCGGCCUGCUGGACGACAACUGACGCUGAGGAGCGAAAGCGUGGGGAGCAAACAGG
rnacentral:rRNA from 1 species